GUCUAUGGCCACACCACCCUGAACACGCUCGAUCUCAUCUGAUCUCAGAAGCUAAGCAGGGUCAGGCCUGGUUAGUACUUAGAUAGGAGAAUGGCUAUCAUUUAAA
rnacentral:rRNA from 1 species